rnacentral:rRNA from 1 species
GACGAACGCUGGCGGCGUGCCUAAUACAUGCAAGUUGAGCGCUGAAGGUUGGUACUUGUACCAACUGGAUGAGCAGCGAACGGGUGAGUAACGCGUGGGUAAUCUGCCUUUGAGCGGGGGACAACAUUUGGAAACGAAUGCUAAUACCGCAUAAAAACUUUAAACACAAGUUUUAAGUUUGAAAGAUGCAAUUGCAUCACUCAAAGAUGAUCCCGCGUUGUAUUAGCUAGUUGGUGAGGUAAAGGCUCUCCCAGGCCAUGAUACAUAGCCGACCUGAGAGGGGGGUCGGCCCACUUGGGACUGGGACCCGGCCCAAAACCCUACGGGAGGCAGCCGUAGGGAAUCUUCGGCAAUGGACGAAAGUCUGACCGAGCAACGCCGCGUGAGUGAAGAAGGUUUUCGGAUCGUAAAACUCUGUUGGUAGAGAAGAACGUUAGUGGGAGUGGAAAGCGCACCUAGUGACGGUAACUACCCAGAAAGGGACGGCUAACUACGUG